CUGGGACAGCGGGAGCCGGACUGGGACAGCGGGAACCGGGCUGGAAUCAGGGCUGGGGCAGCAGGAUCGGGGCUGGGAACGGGACCAGGACAGCGGGAACCGGUCUGAGAUCGGAGCUGGAAUAGCGGGAUCGGGAGUGGGAACGGGGCUGAUAUCAGGGCUGGGAUAGCGAGAUCAGGGCUGGGAAAGCGGGAACUGGGCUGCGAUAGCGGGAUUGGGGCUGAGAUCUGGGCUGAGAUCGGGGCUGAGACAGCGGGAACGGGGCUGGGAAAGUGAGAUCGGGGCUCACAGCAGGAACGGGGCUGGGACAGCGGGAUCGGGGCUGGGACAGCGGGAUCGGGGCUCUCCCAAGGGCGGCAGCCGUGCCCGCGGCGGGGAGGGAACCUCGCCCCGCUGCCCUCAGGUCGCACGGCCGCCGCUUUGAGAAGGCGCCGGAGCCCUCAGGUUGGCCCAUGGAGACGGAGAGCGACUCCAGCGACAGCCAGGACUCUCUGGGCGGCAUGACCCCGGGCAGCGUGCUGAUCCGCCCCGCGGCCGGGCGCAGGGAGCCGGCCCCGGGGGCCGUGCAGCAGCCCCGGCCGGAGGACGCGGCUGCGGCCGGAGCCGCCCGCGCUGUCCCGGCCGCGGGGCCCGCCUGGGGCCCGGGCGGGGCCGGGGCUCCCCGGGGCUCCCCCGGUGUCGCUCCAGGAGUCGUAAGCACCAAAGUAUCUCCAGAUUGUCUGGUUCCAGUCGAAAAUUCAGAGCCUGUGUUUUUAUCCCAAAUGCAUUAUCCUGGAGAAGCUGCAGCACAAGAUGAUCCUUCACUGCUGCUGGAAUAUAGCAAAAGACCUGAAGAUUAUGUUUUGAUUUCUCAGUAUGCUGCUGGCCAGAAGGAGGCUCUGAGAGCAGUAUUAAUGCAAAAAAUUCAGAAUGUUCCUGUUCCCAAGGAGGUGAAGGUGCAGCUCUUGGGAAGUGCCUUCACAGACAAAAGGGAAAGUGUUUGGGCUAACCCCAGGUCAGCACCCAGGGAAGUUGACUCUGCAACCACCAUUGCAGCAGCUGCUGCUGCUGUGUUUGCCACGGCAGCUCCCCUGCUCAAGGUUCAAAAUGAUUUGGAAGCAAAAGUGAACUCAUUUUCAGAACUGCUUCAGAAACUGCAGGAGACAGACAGGCAGCUGCAGCGAGUGUCUGAACAGCAAACCAGCAUGAAAGCUCAACACGAGGAGCCCCACUACCAGCAGAGAGUCAGAGAGCUUGAGAAACAAAUGAAUGCUUUCAUGCUGCAACGGAUUCAGCACUUGGAAAAGCUUCAGGAGCAGCAAAUGAAUAUUCAGUCCCAUCUCAUCAGCUCUGCAGUGAGCAGCCGUGGCCUGCAGAGUCCUGUGCCUGCCUCUGGGCCCCUGACAGGACGCUGGGAGAAGCCAGAGCACAGAUCACUCACUAAUGAAGCACCUUCAUCUCACAGGAGUUUAUUCCCUACCACUGCUGCACCUGUCAAAGCAUACUCAAGCCAUUUGCCAAGUCACGAGGUUCAUACACAAAAAUCUCCUCUAAACACGCCAGUUCCUCGAAGAUAUGCUCCAGAACCUGUACCCAAAAGUGCAAAAAUCUCAGAGAAAGAGAACUCUGUAGUAAAAAAAGAAAAUCUUCUCAAACCUACAGGAGAAGGUGAGAAGAAAUACCUGGAACACAUUCGGGGUUCUCAAGCAGUGUCACUGAAGCAGGUGGAAUCUUCCAAGAAGACAGCAGCAAGCAGCAGUGAAAGGAGCUGGCAUUCUGAGAGAAGCAGACACAAAGCUUUGCGUGCAAAGUCGAAUCCUUUUGAAAGCUACAAUGAAAUUGAUAAAACAGUGCAAAAAGCAGAUGAUUUACUUCAAGAUCUUGGCAAGUUGAGAAGAGAAAUGCACAACAUUCUGCAGGGAGCAAGUCCAUGGAAAUCUGAUGUGAAAGAUCUUAUGAAGGGAGGAAGUCCACGGAAAUCUGAUGUGAAUGAUCUUACUAAGGGAGCAAGUCCAUGGAAAUCUGAUGUGAAUGAUGUUACUAAGGGAGCAAGUCCACGGAAAUCUGAAGUGAAUGAGGUUAUUAAGUCAAGAAAUCCUCCUGAAAAAAACGCACCUGAUCCUCCCCAACAUCAUCUGCUCAACAAACCAUCCAUCCUUCAAAAGGUUGAAGUGCCAAGGUCUAUCCUGACAGAUGCUGAGAGGACUUUGAGAGGAGUGCAAAACACUAAAAAAGUCCUUGAGGAGAAUCUGGAAGCUGUUACUCGUGCUAAAGAUGGAGAUGCCAUGUAUUCCAUCAGUGACUCCUUGACUACAAACAGAGAUGUCUUGGAAGAGAUUCGUAUCCGAAGGACUGUGGAUGAGUGGAUCAAGGCAAUCAGUGAGGAAAUCCAGACUGAAAUGGCAAGAAAUGAUUCAGAACAAGGGAAAAGUGAUCAAAAAGCCCCAUGGAACAAGAAAGGCCAAAGCCUCAAGGCUGUGAAGACCAAGAAAGAAAUUAAAGAGAGAACUCAAAACAUCCAAGGAUGCUUGACAAAAAAACCUUUAUCUGUAGCUAAGCCAUUGCAGAAGCAGAUGGAAGAUAACACAAGGAAACAGAAGUUUAGGACUUACCUUUCUGAAAAUGUGCAGAGCAAAGAAAGAAGAGCAGAUGGAGCUGUAGGUGGAACUGCACUGGUCCAAAAUGAAGAUAACCUGUCUCAAGUUUAUGGGAAACCCAUUUACCAGGGCCGCCGUAGCACCCUUAAGAAAGGACCUUACCUGAGAUUCAACUCUCCCUCUCCCAAGGCCAAACUUCCCAGACCCAAGCUGAUAGAGACUGUUAGAGGGACAAAGGUGAAGUCAGCAAAGACCCAGACCUCCUCUCUCACACAGAAGGUCAUCAGGAGCCCCCAGAAGAAGCAGCCUGUGUAUGCCCUUGCCCAGCAGCAGAAGCAGUUCUUCUUCAGCCCCAGCCAAGCUGUCCCUGCUGCCUCUGGUCCUGUGGAAGGCCACCUCAUUCCCAUGGCUGUCCCACUAGGUCAAACCCAAAGCAGCAGCUCCUUACUGCAGCCAGCUGUGGUAGUGAUAGAUAAACCACAUCCUGUCACAGUGACAACCUCCCUUCCUCAAGUGCCACCAAAGCCUCCAGUCGAGGUCAAAAAACCAAAUAUAGCUGUAGUGGAGAUGAGAUCAGAGAAGAAGGACCCACCUCAGCUCUCUGUGCAGGUGUUGCCAAAUGUUGAUAUUGACAGUGCUUCAAGUGCCAGUGGGAGUGUAAGUCACAUUCCUGCAGGCUCUGCUCCUCUGCUCCCUCCUGUCAAUGCUGUAAUACAGACUGCAGAAGAUGAACACAGUGAAGAGGAAGACACAAAGUAUCCAGGAAACAACUUCCUUGAUGUUGCUGAUGUCAUUCAGGAUCAGGAAGAGGAGAGGGAUGAAAUUCCAGAAUUCCUUGAGCCUCUUCUGGAGCUUAGUGGCCAGUUUAAAGUUGCCUCGCCACAGUGCAAUGGUCCUUUGUUUCCUCCAGUGGUUUCUGCUCCUCAGCAGCCUGCUGAUAUUUUGGAUGAACGGAUUCAAAGGAGAGAAACUAUAGAAAACAAGUUGAUAAAUUGGGUGGAACAAGAAAUAAUGGCAAAAAUUAUCAGUGAGAUGUGCCCACCUCGGAAAGAAACGGUGGCCAGCAUUAGCUCAGAGAGUGACGACAGUGAGGAUGGAUCCCCUGACAUUGAUGAAGCUGCAGGUGGUGAAGGAUUUCAGCCCUUUGUCAAUGCUGGUGUCCCUGUGGACUCAGAAAUGAUAAAUCAUUUUGUAAAGGAAGCUCUCAGUGAAACCAUUGCAACCAUGCUGGGUGACAGGCAGGCUCAGAGAGCAGCUCCUGGUCCAAGUGUUCCUCCCAGCACAGCCCCAGUGAUGGAGGCUCCUGUGCCUACUCCAGUGCCAACACCCCAGGCCACACCACCACCAUCACCUCCUUCAGAAAAAGAAUUGCCUCGGGUCAAAACUCCAGAUUCAUCUCCCUCUCCUCCAGAGAUGAGUGGAGAUGUUCGUGAACAUGAAAAAAUGAAAGAAACAGGUCUGAAAUGUGGCUUCCCACACGCAGGAGCUGAGAUUGCAGCUGCCACCAGCUGUGUUGUCACCCCUGUGGUCACCCCUGUCACCACACCUACCCCAGCAGCCACGCCGAGCCCUCCUGCCUCAGACUGGCCCUCCCAAGCUGAAAAAAGGGAAAGCCCAAAGCUUCCAAACCCGUGGGAUGGGGCAGAACUUCCUCUGGAGGAAGAGAAGCCCAGUCCUGUCCCUGAAGAACCCUUCUGUCCCGGGGCUGUGGCGAUGUCAGUGGCCCACGAGGAGGAGGCAGAGGCCUUGGUUUCACCCUCCCAGCAGCUGCCAGGGAGUGCCCGGGUGCCCUGCAGUGCCCGGGUGCCAUCCCCCGUGGCCACGCUCAGCUCCGCGGGGUCCUCGCAGGAGAGCAGCCCCAGCACCACCGAGAGCGAGACCACGGACAGAGCCCUCUCAGAGGGAGAGGUGCUCUUCACCUGUGGGCAGCCAGCCUUAGCAGGAGGAGGAUUGUCUCUUCCAAACCUCACUGAGAGCUUAUCCAGUACUCUCCGAGAUGCCAAUGAAAUGGAUUAUGAUCCUCCAAGUGAAGGGGAGGUGCUGAGGAGAACACAUAAAGGCUGUCACAGGGAUCCUGUCCUGACUCUUUUAACCAAAAUAAAUCAAGCUCCUGUUUUUGCACAAGGAAGAGACCACUUGGAGGAUUCUGAUGGCAGCAUUGGGGAGCUCAGUGAAGGUCAGAGACCGAGGCUGACCAGAGCACAGCAGAGAAUCCUGAUGGGAAAUCUCAUUUUUAUGGCGCAUCCAGCUGCUCACAGCUCUGGGAACAGACCACGCCAGGGUCUCCGUUCUGCAUCUCCAGGGCAGCUUGCCCCAAUUGGAGCAGAAAUCCUUGGAGAUGCAGAUACAAGUCCCAGUCCAGUGCUUUUGGGUGAACUGGAGUCACAGCCACGUUCAAAUCCAGCCCAGCCAAGCUGCAGAAUGACACCACUCCCAGAGGAUUUGUCCCAGGAGGAAAGCCAAGGAGCUGCACAUGUUGAGACUGUGAGACCCCGAGUUAUUUUUGUGAGAAGGAAAUCUGAAGAGAUGCAACAAGAAGGUAAGGCCAGGCAGGGGUCCUGUUUCUGUGACUCUGCUCAGAGUGGGAUUCCAUUUGGUGGGCAGUGAAGAUGUCCACACCUCUGCUUGUGGAACCUUUUUGGAACAGGCUCUCAAGGAUGUGAGCCACCUCUGCUCUUGGAGACUCCUCCUUUGGGCUAAUUGAAGCUCGUGGUUGUUGCAGUGCCUCUCCUGACCCUCGUCUCGUCUCCUAUCUGCCGACAGUGAGAUGCUCUUCCUGCCUGGGCUCUCAGCCUGCUCCUGGAGGUGCUGUUCCUGCUCAGCCUGGUCCUGGCAGACUGGACCUGGCCUUGCCAGGCUGUGUGUCAGCAGGGACACGUGGCUUGGCAAGCUGCUCCACGCUGGGAGCUCAGUUGUUGUCAUCUUCCUUGUUGCUGCACCCUGUGCUGGCCAGGAAAUGUCAGCCACGGGGCUGCCAGCGGGGCUUGGCUCAUCCACCCUCAUCCCUCUGAAGGGAAAGGCAGACACAGGGAAUCAUGGAAUGCUUUGGGUUGGAAGGGACCUUAAAGAUCAUCUCAUUCCAACCCCCUGCCAUGGGCAGGGACACCUUCCACUAGACCAGGUUGCUCCAAGGAUAAAAAAGGAGUUGAGCAGGAGCAGGUUACCAAGGUACACAAGGUUACAAAUGGCACUGGGAGGUGCCAAGCAGGUAGGGACAAGCAGGGGGUGUGUGUUGGUGGCAGAUGGGCUCUGUGCUGGGUGCUCACCCCUUUGGGUCAGGAUCUGUAUGAGCAUGAGAUCUCCUUCUCCAAGCAGAAAUAGGCUGGAGGAAUCUCAAUGAGAUGAGAAGGAGAUAAUCUUAUUACAGCGACCUGCAAGUUCCUUUUUUUGUGGGUGUUACUGCUGCUUAAUGUUGGGGAUCAAAUUCUCCCCUGAUAGAAAUCUGCCUGUGGCCCCUUUGGCUUUUAUGGCAGCAAAGCCAUUUACUGCAUCUUGUUACUCACUGCCUCUGUGCCUGGGUGGUUCCAUUGCCUGCAGAUGACUGGAACCACAACCAUGGGGUGUUUGCAACCCAGAGCAUCCUCCCAGAGAAGCUGUGGCUCUCCCUGGAUCCCUGGAAGUGUCCAAGGCCAGGCUUGGAGCAACCUGGGACAGUGGGAGGUGUCCCCACCCAUGGCAGAGGGUUGGAACUGGAUGGGCUUUAAGGUCCCUUCCAACCCAACCAUUCCAGGAUUCUAUGAUUCCAUUAAGGACUUAUUAAUUAGGCUGCCUUGUAUUGCACAGUAAAUUGGGUGUGUUGACAGCAGCCUGUGGUCCAAAAACUACAGAUGCCACUGCUCUGAACACUCUUCACUAACCCAUUAGCUUUUAAUUUGUGUAAAUAAAGAUUCUCCUUACUUAUUUUUUUUCUUUUUUUUCUUCUUUUUUUUGUCAGUUUUGGGGCUGGGAGAGCUCUUUGCCAGCUGCUCUGCCCACAGAUAUUUUUUCUCCAGAUAACAAAUCUUGGGACCAGCAGCUGAACCUCGACACGCUGCCAUUUUAACGAGCUGUAAAUUUAGAGCAUCUUGGCAUAUUUGGGGAAAGUAUAAAUCAUAGGUUACUCCUGAUUUUUUUGGUUUUUUUAAAUUUUUUAUUUCCAAAGUGAACAAGUAGCCAAGCAUUAGGUUUCUUUCAGCAGUGACAGGCUAAUUGUUUCAAAAUGGGGCUGUGAAAUACGUCGAGUGCUGCAAUGUGGGAUCAGCUGGAACAUCUGUUCCUGAAAAACACCAUGUAGGAACAUGACUUCUAAACAGAGAUAAGCCAGUUCGAACAGGAUAUGAGGGAACCUUGCAAAGCUGAGAAAAUUGCUGUCAUGACAGCUGUAAAACCAAAAACCUCUUGGAAAUGCAGCCUGGGAAUGCAGCUCCUAAACGGAAGCAGAGAAGAACUGAUCUGGGUUUCCAGGCAUGGUCCUCUUGCAAAGCCUUUAAAAAAGUUCCUUGCCCUUUCCUCUCUGCAAGAGCAUUUUGUAAGCUCUGGGAUGGCUUGGAAAGGCAGUGUUCACGUGAAGAAAUUAGCUGGGAAUUCGUGGGGUUUUCAGGAAAUGCAAGGCAGUUGCCACAGGUUGGAUUUUCCCUGUGCU